GUGUCGGCUCUAGUUCUUCUUCAGAUGCCUACUUUUGCAAAUUGGGAUUCUAGUUGUCGGAAAGAAAAAAUGGUGAAGACGAGAAGUGAGCGGCUCCGGGAAGCUUCUUUAACUUGGAAUUCGAGUUGCCUGACUCCAACAGUAGUCCAUCGAUCUGAGGGUCCAAAUAUCUCGACUACGUCGGAAAGGGUAAUUUAAACCCCCGUAAUAAGACCCGAUGGUGCAGUGGCGAGCAGGGAACGCAGGCGAAUAGUUCGUUGUCCCUUUGUAGAUUCGGAUCUACUGUUGAAACGGAAGUGCGUUUCCCCAAUCGCAGGUCUAUGUACAUCGUUGCGGUUCGAUCCAUGGCGGAGUCUCCAACAGCUGAAAAGAAUCAACCGUACUCCUCAGGCUUCUUACAAUUUUUCUUUUCCUGCAAUUUCGAGAUUGAUUUCAGUUGGGAGGAACUGCCUCGGUUUUGGAGAAUGCUGGAAUCUAUGUGACCAAAGUGGAGAAGCUUACUCAAUUUGUAGAAAUGGCAAGUUUUUUCCCUUAAGCUCGCUGCUCUUGCUUAAGGUUUGGUCUUGUGUUUUCGUUGAUUCUUUAAAGAUCUUUAAUCAAACAAAAGGCUAAUGUCAAAUUGAGUUGUGACUUUUUCAAUGAUCAUACCAUUAUCUUGUUGAGUUUAGUAUAUUAAACUUAGCUCUCCUUCUGUUUUUUCUUCUCAAGAAGCUUGAUGGAAUUCUCACUAGUCCAAGAGAUGUCAUAUAAAGAUGAGUGAUUGGUAAACUUGACGUUUUGGAUGUUUGAUAACACUAUAUAUUUUCCUUAAGAAA